rnacentral:rRNA from 1 species
CGGAAGGUCCGGGCGUUAUCCGGAUUUAUUGGGUUUAAAGGGAGCGUAGGCCGGAGAUUAAGCGUGUUGUGAAAUGUAGACGCUCAACGUCUGCACUGCAGCGCGAACUGGUUUCCUUGAGUACGCACAAAGUGGGCGGAAUUCGUGGUGUAGCGGUGAAAUGCUUAGAUAUCACGAAGAACUCCGAUUGCGAAGGCAGCUCACUGGAGCGCAACUGACGCUGAAGCUCGAAAGUGCGGGUAUCGAACAGGAUAUGAGUA